GACGAACGCUGGCGGCGUGCUUAACACAUGCAAGUCGAACGGAAAGGCCCUGCUUUUGUGGGGUGCUCGAGUGGCGAACGGGUGAGUAACACGUGAGUAACCUGCCCUUGACUUUGGGAUAACUUCAGGAAACUGGGGCUAAUACCGGAUAGGAGCUCCUGCUGCAUGGUGGGGGUUGGAAAGUUUCGGCGGUUGGGGAUGGACUCGCGGCUUAUCAGCUUGUUGGUGGGGUAGUGGCUUACCAAGGCUUUGACGGGUAGCCGGCCUGAGAGGGUGACCGGCCACAUUGGGACUGAGAUACGGCCCAGACUACUACGGGAGGCAGCAGUGGGGAAUGGUACACAAUGGGCGGAAGCCUGAUGUAGCAAAGCCGCGUCCGGGAUGUCGGCCAUCGGUUUGUAAUCCACUUUCGCCUUUGACGGAGUGUGAGUGACGGUAAUGGGUAAAGAAGCACCGGCUAACUACGUG
rnacentral:rRNA from 1 species